GAUGAACGCUAGCUACAGGCUUAACACAUGCAAGUCGAGGGACCGGCGCAACGGUGAGUAACACGUAUCCAACCUGCCCUUUACUCGGGGAUAGCCUUUCGAAAGAAAGAUUAAUACCCGAUAUAAAGGAUGGGGAUGCGUUCCAUUAGGUUGUUGGUGAGGUAACGGUUCACCAAGCCUUCGAUGGAUAGGGGUGCUGAGAGGAAGGUCCCCCACAUGGGAACGGAGACACGGUCCAAACACCGACGGGAGGCAGCAGUGAGGAAUAUUGGUCAAUGGGACCUAGCCUGAACCAGCCAAGCCGCGUGAAGGAUGAAGGCUCAUGGGUAGUAAACUUCUUCUAUAUAAGAAUCUGUAUCAUAUGAAUAAUGAUCGGCUAACUCCGUGCCAGCAGCCGCGGUAAUAC
rnacentral:rRNA from 1 species